CUGAUGGUUCUGUGUCUCUGGAGAUCCCCUACUAAUACAAUUUAAGCCAAUUUCAUGUUUCGUACGGAGGUAUGUACCCAAGCUUUCAACGUGAUAAAUGGAAGGUAAAAAGAUUAGUGCCCCUUAGCAACCCUGCUCAAUCAGUUUUCAAGGCUUUUGUCAUCCUAAGGAGAUGUUCAUGGUUAGUGGUAAUUGCUAACUGGAUAAAUCUUGGAGUUCCUUAAACACGGUACCCUGAGCAUGCCUGUGGUUGAUUACCUUGGUUGUAUUAACUGAGAUGGGAAAAACCAUCUUAACUGUGGGCAGCAGAUCCUGAACAGUAGAAACUGAAGAAGAAGCAAAGCACUCCCAUGCCUUGCCCCUCUCUGCCUUCUGAUUGUGGAUGUGGGUGACCAGCUGCUUCAAGCUCCUGCUGCCUUGAUGUAUCUGACCAUCAUGAAGGACCUUGAACUGUGAGCCCAGACAGCAGACAAACAGACAAACAAACAAACAAAUAAAACACUUUCUCUACCAUGUUGCCUUUCAUCACAGAAACUACGACAGAGGUCAAAAACCUCAACUUGAAAGAGUAAACUUGAAGGCAAUAGGAGACAUCUGGGAAACCAUGACUGAAGUGGAGGUGUGUAUUUACCAUAAAUUGGUACCAUGGUUACGUUUGUGAUCUCAGUCUCCUCAAAUCUCUGAGCUAUAUGAAUCAGGAGAACUUAGUGAACUAUGGAUGCAAAGGGCUGCCUGCUGCAUACUGAAUACUGAGUUAAUCACUGGGACAGAUAUUAGCAUUUACCACACAACAAUCAGGAAGUCAAAUUUAAUUGUAACCACAAGUGCGGUGCUGGGCGCUGUUUUCAGUAGGGGUGAUAAGGUGCAAGUUCGGCAGCCAUAGUGAGGAUCAUACAGAAUCUAUAUGUACAAGAUACAUUUCAAAUGGACAAAUCUCAGAAUCAAAUCCACAAACUAACAAGAGAAGUUACCAACCAGCCCACGGGAAGCCUGCUUAUCGUGACAACAUGUCAAAUGCACUCACAACUGGUGAAGGAUCUGCUCUCUGACCCUGCUGGCUCUGAAGUGGCCACUUACUCCUGUAAAGGGCCUGCUCUCAUCUGUGAAUGGAAGCUCCCUUUGGGAUCCUAACUGAGCUGCUGCCCUCCUAUUCAUAUCCCUUAACCUCACCUGCAAUUUUGCAUACAACAUUCCCUGGUACCAACCUCUGUCUGAGCAAAUAAAAGUCUAACAUCACUUCA
rnacentral:lncRNA from 1 species